rnacentral:rRNA from 1 species
GAUGAACGCUAGCUACAGGCUUAACACAUGCAAGUCGAGGGGAAACGACAUCGAAAGCUUGCUUUUGAUGGGCGUCGACCGGCGCACGGGUGAGUAACGCGUAUCCAACCUGCCCACCACUUGGGGAUAACCUUGCGAAAGUAAGACUAAUACCCAAUGAUAUCUCUAGAAGACAUCCGAAAGAGAUUAAAGAUUUAUCGGUGAUGGAUGGGGAUGCGUCUGAUUAGCUUGUUGGCGGGGUACAGGCCCACCAAGGCCACGAUCAGUAGGGGUUCUGAGAGGAAGGGCCCCGACAUUGGAACUGAGACACGGUCCAAGCUCCUACGGGAGGCAGCAGUGAGGAAUAUUGGUCAAUGGGCGAGAGCCUGAACCAGCCAAGUAGCGUGCAGGAUGACGGCCCUAUGGGUUGUAAACUGCUUUUAUAAGGGAAUAAAGUGAGCCUCGUGAGGCUUUUUGCAUGUACCUUAUGAAUAAGGACCGGCUAAUUCCGUGCCAGCAGCCGCAGUAA